UCGAUGUGUCUGAUUUUAGGGUUCACUUGAAUUGCCUGUAUCAAUUAAUUAUUGCCUCCCAUCUUAUGGUUUAUUUGAACCAUUUCAAAUUCCAAUAAUCUCGAGAAUGAAGUUGGCCCAUUUCUCCUUUUUAUUUGUAUUUUCCCUUUGAAUAUCAGUAUUUUAAUCUUCACGAUUUUCCUCUCUUCAUUAGCUCUCAGGUGCAAUAUCUAUAUUUUCUCAUUGAUAUUCAGUUUAAGGCUUGAGUCUUGUAGCUGCUUGCAAUAAUCUUGUGAAAAAGGUGUUCACUUGAAAAACUUUUGAAGGCUUGGGGAUUGUCCCCUCUACAAUUCUAGUACAUAGUACAUUAUGUUGUUCUUGUCAAACAUCAUUACUCUCUGGUUGAUGGUGCAGUUCAGCUUGGGACUUGGUUCAAAUUUUAGCAUAAUUUUUUUAACCUGAGUUCAGCUCCUUAUUUUGCAUGUUUCCACCAGUAGGCAAGCCCCUUACAUAAUUUGAUAUAUGGACUAUGCACCUUUUAUGUUCUCUUUGAUUGAAUAGUGAUUAUCAAGUUUGGCCGGUGGUGUACUUCCUUUCGCAAUAGCUUGAAACUAAUGACAUUAGGGUGUGAAAUUCUCUGCUCAGGUACAAUUUAUGUUCUCUUUUGUAGAUGUGCUCCUCUAUUUAAUUCUUGUUUGUUUGUUGAAUCGCCAUUACCAGCAUUUGCCCCUGAAAUUUCAUCGAUUUUACAUAAAUGGAAUCCUCCAAAUACACGUACAUGGCAAAGUGGACUGAGCCAUUGACCGAAUUGUUUGUAAGUCUGAUGGUAGAUGAGGUAAAAAAUGGAAAUCGCACAUCAUGUACCUACAACAGAGUAGGGUGGAUUAACAUUGAAAAAGAAUUCAAUGAACAAACAAGACUUCACUUUAGUCAACCACAGUUCAAGAACAAGGCACAGAAACUGAAGAGACAAUAUGGUAGUUUUAAGAAGUUGCUUUCAACAACGGGAUUUGGAUAGGACGAUGACAGCAAGAGGGUUGUUGUGAACGAUGAAACUGUUUGAGCAAAUCACAUUAAGGCUAAUACUAAAUGGGCCAAGUUCAGGAAGAACGGAUUUCCUUUGUAUUCACAGCUUUGUGUUGUGUUUGGGGAUACAUACGCCACUGGGGAGUUUGCAAUAGGAAAUGCGCAAGCGUGGCACCGUCGGAGGGUACAGGUGACAGUGGUGGUGGUGGUGACAAUGAUGUUCAUGUCAACCUAAGCGAACCUGAACUGUUUUUCGAAACCCAAGCUGAUGUGGAACAAUUUAACGUGUCGGUGAGCCCACAUCCAAAAAGUCACACGUUGGAUAGGACUCCAAAUGCCAAGAGGAGGAGAAAGAGCAAUUCGCAUUCAUUUGACGCGACCUGCAAAGCCAUUCAAGAGAUGAUCAAAGCUAAGACGGUUCAAAUAUCAAGUGCCUCCGUCACCUCAUAGUCCUUAAUACCUGUGGACCCUUACUUUAUAGCAACCGUGGGUGCUGUCCUAAAUGCCAUGCAUGACUUGGACAAGGUUCUUUACAUCAAAGCUAUGAAACAUGCUGUCAUUAAUGCCUCUUGGAGAGAGGGCUUCCUGACAUGUCUUCCCGAAAUGAGAGUUGCCUUUAUUGAGGCUAUGGAUGAGUAGUUGGGGGCUCUUGAGUAGUUGUUGGGCUAUAGUAUGCCGUUUUAUGUUUGAGUUCAUUUCGGCUUCACUUAUGUAUUUCAGACAUUGACUUGUCUUUAUGACUAUGCGUUUGUGAUGAUGUUGAGACUUUGCUUUAAUGUGAUUGAAUUCCAUAA